rnacentral:rRNA from 1 species
UACGUAGGCAGCGAGCGUUGUUCGGAGUUACUGGGCGUAAAGGGUGUGUAGGCGGUUGUUUAAGUUUGGUGUGAAAUCUCCCGGCUCAACUGGGAGGGUGCGCCGAAUACUGAAUGACUCGAGUGCGGGAGAGGAGAGUGGAAUUCCUGGUGUAGCGGUGAAAUGCGUAGAUAUCAGGAGGAACACCGGUGGUGUAGACGGCUUUCUGGACCGUAACUGACGCUGAGACACGAAAGCGUGGGUAGCAAACAGG